UACGUAGGGGGCAAGCGUUGUUCGGAAUUACUGGGCUUAAAGGGCGCGUAGGCGGUAAUGUAAGUCUGAGGUGGAAUCCUUUGGCUUAACCAAAGGACUGCCUUGGAAACUGCAUUACUUGAGUCAGAUAGGGGAAGGCGGAAUUCCUGGUGUAGCAGUGAAAUGCGUAGAUAUCAGGAGGAAGGCCUGUGGUGAAGACGGCCUUCUGGGUCUUGACUGACGCUGAGGCGCGAAAGCGUGGGGAGCAAACAGG
rnacentral:rRNA from 1 species